AGCAACUUUUGUUGAGUAGGCCA
rnacentral:siRNA from 1 species